AUUGAACGCUGGCGGCAGGCCUAACACAUGCAAGUCGAGCGGAUGACGGGAGCUUGCUCCUUGAUUCAGCGGCGGACGGGUGAGUAAUGCCUAGGAAUCUGCCUGGUAGUGGGGGACAACGUUUCGAAAGGAACGCUAACACCGCAUACGUCCUACGGGAGAAAGCAGGGGACCUUCGGGCCUUGCGCUAUCAGAUGAGCCUAGGUCGGAUUAGCUAGUUGGUGGGGUAAUGGCUCACCAAGGCGACGAUCCGUAACUGGUCUGAGAGGAUGAUCAGUCACACUGGAACAGAGACACGGUCCAGACUCCUACGGGAGGCAGCAGUGGGGAAUAUUGGACAAUGGGCGAAAGCCUGAUCCAGCCAUGCCGCGUGUGUGAAGAAGGUCUUCGGAUUGUAAAGCACUUUAAGUUGGGAGGAAGGACUGUAAGUUAAUACCUUGCUGUUUUGACGUUACCGACAGAAUAAGCACCGGCUAACUCUGUGCCAGCCGCCGCAGUAACAC
rnacentral:rRNA from 1 species